GAGCUCUUUGGUACAUUCACCUUUUUCCUCCUGGCUCCAGCAAGUUUUCUGUCCCCACUCUUGCCCGAUUGCCCUGCUUCUUAAUUUAUAGAGCAGCAAUCAGCACAGGAAUUUCACAAGCUCCAAUCGGGAUGUCUUCCAGGCUACCUGCAUUUCCACCCGCCCACUCUUCUGGUGACUACAGAUAGGUAGUCUGUGCACUUCCAGAGGCACAAGCCAAAAUGGCAAAGUUUACUCUGCAAAUUCUAAUGUUCUUCCGUGUUCAGAAAGUGUUUCAAGUUCGAAUACAGACUUGGGUCAUAAAUGAAAGCUGGAGGUCUGAAUUCUGGAAAAUUAAAGAUUCUUCAUAAUCUGGAAAAUUCAGGAAUAAUCAAGCAUUAAACCCCAGUAUACUAAGGAGGACAAACCCAAUCAAGAAUUUGCAAUGCUUUCAUGCUGGCAGUGCCAAGGACUGACUGCUGUGUGGCGAGAAUCUGAAGUCUCCUGCCUGGGGACCUGAAUAAUUGACCUGCUCCACUUACUGAUGAAGGCAAGAAAAUAUGGCGCUGGUCUUGAAGGAAGGCAUCCGUCCUUCAUUCCUGCUAAAAAUAAAAGAAUCACCCUAAUGGACACUCACUCAAAGGCUAUUUCAAAGCAGAUCUAAAUUAGCCACUCGCUGUAAUGUGUUCCCUAUAUUAGCUACCUAGUCUUACAAGGGUAACAGGUAAAGUCAUCCUGGUGUGCUAUGAGUCAGAGCUAGUGAAGUGUCCUGGUGUAGUGACACCAUGCCACAUUAGAAGACUCUGUGGUCACACAUACAGUGGUUCUGAUGGCCACUGGAAGGCUAAGUUGUGUCUGAACUGUAUUAGUGACAAGAUAGGGGAUGAGGUCCCCUGUCAUAUGGGCCAAGAUGGUUCAUUCACCCAGCUAAUAACUAUUACAGGGACAGUCUGUGCUGAGGGAGGCAGCAGAGAGCCAGAGACACUGGGACAUUUUCUUCACCUUGCCUUCAGAUGUGAAACACCCAGUUGUGGUGGGUGAUCCUGGUUGUCAACUUGUAUGAACCUGGAAUCAGUGAGCAGGCAAGGAUCUGAGUAUACUUGUGAGAAAUAUUAUGGAUUAGGCCAAUAAAGCAUGAAGACUCACUCUAAAUGAAAGGAUAUCUUUGUCAGUGGCUCAUACAAAAAGAUGUUCGUAGGAAAGGUUUUGGCUUUGGGCCUGCUUGGUCUUUUAAGCCCACAGGUGAAUUUAUCUAUGCUGCUUCAAAUCCAUUUACCCUGUUGCUGUCACCACCACUGCCACAGCCACUGUUGCUGCUACUGCUUCUGCUGCCAUAAGAGCCCAGCUGUUUUCUACCUUGCAGCAUGGAAUGAAGAGCCAGUCACUCCAGUAAUCCUCCAGACUUUCAUAGCAAGAUUGGAAACGUUGAAGCAUCCAGCCUUGUGAACUAAGCAGAAAUUGGUCCUCUGCCUCCCCAGUGUGGUGGCAGCCAUUGUUGGACUCUCCACAGCAUACUGUGUAAUCCAAUCUAGUAAACUGCCUUUUUAAUAUAUAUUUAUUCUGUUGGUUCUAUUCCUCUGGAGAACCCUGACUAAUACAGUAGCUAUCUCCAGUGCCUCAUGGCAUUCUGUGAUCUGGGAAUGCGGCUAGCCAUUCUAAAUAGGAGCCUAGAACAUACCCUAGGGAGAUAGCUGAGAAAAGGUGCCCACCAUGGUUGAUUGGCAGCAUCAUUUAACAGCCAUCAGUUAGCAUUACUUUAAGCACUUCAUAUUUGUGUGUUAAGCUUUCUGUUUGAUUCAGUAUAAUCCUUUGAAUGGGACUGACCUAUAUGAAUGUGCUCAUAGGAACCAGUAAGAGAACCCUGUCUGUGUAUCUUCAUUGAUGUUUCUGUAUUCUAAAGGCCUCCUGGAGUGGCCUUAGGAGUUAGAACAAUGCUUAGCAAGAAGAGAGAUUGUGAGGUUUGAAGCACUGCAUGAGAUUACACAUAGGGGAGUGGGUUCUUUUUAACAACAAAACUUCUAAACGUGGGAAGUAGGACAAACUCCAUACUCUGUGGUGUAUGAUCUGUUUUUUUGUAUGUUCCUGUGUGCAAAUGUAGGGGGUGGGUGUUGAGGCCAAGGAUCAGCCUCAGUGUCAGGCCUCGGGAGCCAUCCACCUUGUUUUUUAAGACAGGAAGGAUCUCUCACUGACCAGAGACUUCAUACAGUUUUGUUAGCUGGCCAGUGAUCCCCAGAGAUCUGCCUGUUUCCAACCCCCAUGCCUAGUGAUAGAUACUCAGCAUCAAACUCAGGUCAUGUCAUGCCUUCCCUUUGGAUAUUUUAUUAAUUAAAGUAGGUCCCCAGCCCCAUGCUGGUUAAUCCUGAUGUUCAACUUGACUGACUAGAUUUAAAGUCAUCUAGGAGACAGGCAUGUCUUUGAGGGCAUUUCCAAGAGACUUAAGGGAAGUAGGAAGACCCAUCCUGAGCAAGGGCAGCACUACCCAGUGAACCGGGUUCCUGAAUGAAAUAAAAAGGGAAAAGUGAAUUAAACACCAGCAUCUAUCUCUCUUGACUUCCUGAGUGAAGAUGUAAUGUAACUAGCCUCCUGAAGCCCUACACCUACACCUUCCCUGCCAUGAAGGACUGUACCUCAAUCCUAAAACUGAAAUAAAGCCUCCCUAAAAUCGA